rnacentral:rRNA from 1 species
UACGUAGGGUGCAAGCGUUGUCCGGAAUUAUUGGGCGUAAAGAGCUCGUAGGCGGUUCGGUAAGUCGGGUGUGAAAACUCUGGGCUCAACCCAGAGCCGCCACCCGAUACUGCUGUGACUUGAGUUCGGUAGGGGAGCGGGGGAAUUCCUGGUGUAGCGGUGAAAUGCGCAGAUAUCAGGAGGAACACCAGUGGCGAAGGCGGUUCUCUGGGACGGUACUGACGCUGAGACGCGAAAGCGUGGGGAGCGAACAGG